rnacentral:rRNA from 1 species
CCUACGGGGGGCAGCAGUGAGGAAUAUUGGUCAAUGGACGAGAGCCUGAACCAGCCAAGUAGCGUGAAGGAUGACUGCUCUAUGGGUUGUAAACUUCUUUUAUAGAGGACUAAAACGAGGCACGUGUGCCUUUUUGCAUGUACUUUAUGAAUAAGGAUCGGCUAAGUCAGUGCCAGCAGCCGCGGUAAUAAGUAGGAUGCGAGCGUUUUCCGGAUUUAUUGGGGUUAAAGGGAGCGUAGGUGGGUUGUUAAUGCAGUUGUGAAAGUUUGCGGCUCAACCGUAAAAUUGCAAUUGAUACUGGCAGUCUUGAGUACAGUUGAGGUAAGCGGAAUUCGUGGUGUAGCGGUGAAAUGCUUAGAUAUCACGAAGAACCCCGAUUGCGAAGGCAGCUUACUAAACUGUGACUGACACUGAUGCUCGAAAGUGUGGGUAUCAAACAGGAUUAGAUACCCCAGUAGUC